ACGGGUGACUAAUGUCUGGGAAACUGCCUGAUGGAGGGGGAUUUCUACUGGAAGCGGUAGCUAAUACCGCAUAACGUCGCAAGACCAAAGUGGGGGACCUUCGGGCCUCACGCCAUCGAAUGUGCCCAGAUGGAAUUACCUGGUAGGUGGGGUAACGGCUCACCUAGGCUACAAUCCCUACCUGGUCUGAAAGGAUGACCAGCCACACUGGAACUGAAACACGGUCCAGACUCCUACGGGAGGCAGCAUUGGGGAAUAUUGCACAAUGGGCGCAAGCCUGAUGCACCCAUGCCGCGUGUGUGAAGAAGGCCUUCGGGUUGUAAAGCACUUUCAGCGAGGAGGAAGGCAGUAAGGUUAAUAACCUUGCUGAUUGACGUUACUCGCAGAAGAAGCACCGGCUAACUCCGUGCCAGCAGCCGCGGUAAUACGGAGGGUGCAAGCGUUAAUCGGAAUGACUGGGCGUAAAGCGCACGCAGGCGGUUUGUUAAGUUGGAUGUGAAAUCCCCGGGCUUAACCUGGUAACUGCAUUCAAAACUGGCAAGCUAGAGUCUCGUAGUGGAGCGGUAGAAUUCC
rnacentral:rRNA from 1 species